CUCCCUCCCUGCCUCCUUCCCCCCCUCUCUCUCUAACCUUGCAGUCCUCCUCUCCCCCUCCCAUUGUAAAAGGAAAAUGCCCUCUUCUCGCGAGAAGAGAAUUUGAGCAACACAUAGCGUUAUAGCUCUGCAGGAGAAUGUAGAGUAGUCCCAUGCUGAAGAAUAUUGAGAUUCCCUGCUGCCAAUUUCAACCAAAUGAGGACACAUCCUGGGGUGGGAGGGAAUCGUGGCUCCUGAAGAGGCUGGGCACUUUUGCUUUCAGUUUUAUUUUUGCUGGAGACAUUCAAAAGAAAGGCAUUCAAAAUAUAAGUUGCUUGACCCCACAGGCAUGCAGGUAAUAAAGCAACCCAGGUCUGAGGGUAUAAAUCAGUGAUUCGCAAUCUUGGGUCACCCAGGUGUCCUUGGACUGGUUCUUGUGCAGGCCAACUGUUGUUGAAGACUUCUGGGAAUUGUAGUCCAAGAACACCUACAGAUAAAGUGGUCAGGCACUCCCAUUUCUUUAAGAACUUGCCAUAGUUUGCUGUGGUCCACACAGUCAAAGGCUUUCGCAUAGUCAAUGAAGCAGAAGUAGAUAUUUUUCUGGAACUCUCUGGCUUUCUCCAUAAUCCAGCGCAAGUUAGCAAUUUGGUCUCGAGUUCCUCUGCCUCUCAUUACAGAGGCCUUUCACAACACAAGGGCAAAGAAGACAUAAUUCAGAAAGCCCUGGAUGAAUGAUAUGAAUUCAAAAUAUGUGCAAAAGGUCUGUCAUCAGUGGAUUUACUGGGAAAGGCAAUGAACCACCAUUGAAACAGGGAAUGCCCUUCAGACAAGAAAAUACUUGUAUCCUUCCAUGGAAACAUCUGUUAAGAGUUCCUUCCAAGUGUGGCCAAGUUUUUCCUCUGCCCAAUCCAGCUCUGAAAAACCAUCCUCUGAAAAAACGGUGUGCUUGCAUUGCACAUUCGAAUAGUGGAAAUGUUAUUCAAACAGAAAUCGUAAGGGCGGAAAUUGCUUCCAUGGCGCUUGAAAUACAGUGUCAGCAAAAGAAAACAUCCUUUAUUCCCUGGUAGCAGCAGAAUGGUAAGUAUAUAGGAUACAUAUAAACUAUUUUAUGAUGUGGGCAUGUUUGCAAUUUUUACUCCCUGUAUUGUUUGGCCAUCAAAGUUUUUUGUUAAUGCAACUAGACAUAUCCACAUGUUUUUGUUUAUGAAGGGGGGGGGGGAAAUGAGUUGUGUGCACUGCACAUUUAUUGAAAAGCAUGCCGCUUCGAUUGUUGCAGAACAGAUACAUGAAAAUGGGUACAGAAUCCAUGGUGUUACUUUAAGAAGACCGACACAUACAAACAAAUCCUAUUAUAUAGGUAGAUAAUUGCUGUUCAUUGCUGUUCAUUUCCUGAGAGAAUGGGUAAAUUUUGAGUAAGGUCAGGGUUUAGCAUUUCUGUACUCCUCCCAUUGGUUUUCUGGGAACAUUUUCUCCAGAAAAGAGAAUAGGAACUGUACACAAUAAGCAGAUAAGAAAUGUUGCUAUGUGGAAACUGUCCAGAGAUGGAAAACUCCAGCUCCCAGAAUCUCACAAACAGCAUGGAAAACUCAGAGACCUUUCAGAUGAUUUCCAAAAGCAUUGCCUUAUUGGUCUGGUACAAGCAAAAGCAGCUGAGCCCUUGCCUACCCCUAGAGCAAUGCUUCCCAACCAACCAGAGGUCCAGAUAUUUGUAAACUAUUUGUAAAAUAUUUGUAAAUCCCAGGUAGCCGGCUCAAGGUUGACUCAGCCUUCCAUCCUUCCGAGGUCGGUAAAAUGAGUACCCAGCUUGCUGGGGGGGCAAUGUGUAGCCUGUAUAAUUAAAAAUUGUAAACCGCCCGGAGAGUGCUUGUAGCGCUAUGGGGCGGUAUAUAAGUCCAAUAAAUAAAUAAAUAAAAUAAAUAAACUCCCA
rnacentral:lncRNA from 1 species